rnacentral:misc_RNA from 1 species
GUGAAUCAUCGAAUUUUUGAACGUAUAUUGCACUCUCUGGGAUUACGGAGAGUAUGCCUAUUUGAGGGUUAUUUGAAAUAAUAUAAAUUCCAAGAUUUCUCGGAUUUUAAAAUGGGUUGUCCAUUUUUUGUGUUCGCCUAAAAUCCAAGACAAGCCUAUUUUCUUCGGUUGUGUGAUUAUAUCAGUUAUUUUGUGACUUAAUAAGGAAUCAUCGGACA